AUUUGAGCAAAAGUUAUCGCGGUAAAAUUUCCCUUGAUUUUUCCUUUUACGGUUUUCCCCCAAAUCUUUCUCCCUCAUAUUUUCACACGACCUUUAGCUUUUAAAAAAAAUUAAAAGUCGACCCUUAAUUUUCCUAUUAGAUUCAGCUUUACGGUCGCCGGCGAAGCUUCGAGUUAGGUCUGAAUUGCCGUCACCAAAAUCAGAAUUAGGGUUUCAAAUUGCAAGCAAUCCUCCAAAGUUUCAAUUGUUUGUAUAUAGUUGUAGUUCUUAUUAGGUACAUUCAAAGUCGCAGUUAUGCUGCGGUCAUGCAACCUGCAACAUUAGUCUUUGCAUUCAUAUUUGUACAAAGGUAAGUAAGAAAUCAACCAUCUUGUAUAUGAUUAUGUAUUUGUUUCUUGUUCAAGAUAUAUUCGUGUAUAUUCAUGUACUCAAUUGGUGAGAAGAAAGGUAGCAAAGCAGAUCAAGAAAUUCUGAAAUUGCUUGUAUCUAAUUGAAUUAGUAACACCUAGAAUGAGAACCAUGAUUUCCAUCAAUAUGAUACUGUCUCUAUCAAGUCUGUAGCAGUGAGUUUAAAACUUCUAUAGUUUAUAAUUAUUUUGGGGAAUCCAAAAAUUGUUAUUAAGAAUUAGGUAUUAGAAAAUAACAAGACAAUAAUAUGUGCAUUGGAUGAGACUGCUCUGCAUUUAGAGUAAUAUAUCAUUUUAGGUGUUUGGAUGGAGUUCAACUAAGUAAUAUAAGCAAACCGGUUCACUAAUCUCUAAAGAUGAUGAAUAUCCACAUAACCUAUAGUUAUCGGGAAACUUUACUGAAAAAUAUGAACAUAAUUAUCAAAAGGGAUGCUAAACUCUUUACUUGUUGAUUACUGCUUUAAAAGAAAGUUCCAGUUAGAGGUCUCCGCUUUGAGCAACUGGAAAAAACAUUCUGAAAUACUGAGUAUUUGGAAUGACUCAUGUGAAGUAAAAGAAAGAUAUUGUUCUUACUUCUUAUACUAGUAUUUGGGGUACGUAAAAUGAAGCCAAUAAUUAAUUGUAUGUAUUCAGUGGUAUUCGAAAAUAUUGUACUUUAAAUUUGCAGCAAAAAGAUCGAACACAAGAAGGAGAAUUGUAAGCGGCCAAUGGUAAAUUGAAGGAACAAGAUCAUUGUUGCUAGUCGGCCAAUUGAUAACAAAGGGACAUGGAAAGCGGAAGAAGAUGAACUGUUGAAAGCAUGUGAAAAAUUAAAAGACAAAUUACACUUCCUCGCCCUUGAGAUUGGUGGUGUUGGCAUAGUUUCAGCCCAUGUCUCUUAUUCUCCUAAAAUUGCAGCAAGGAUGAACAUGUAUAGUUCAACUCUGCUGCAACACAAGUAUUAUUGGAAGAGGAUUUUCUUAAAUUACUAGAAGAAUUAGAAUAUAAUGACCUUGCUUAUAUUUUUUUUUACAAGUAAAGGCAUAUGUAGUAAGUAUCUAGUGCAUCAAUCUUAUUUAUUGAUCUUUGCAUAUUUAUAUGGCUUUAAAUCCAAAUAUUUAUGUAUUUUUCGAAAAGAAUUAUGUAUUGUCUAUG